GUCCACAGGAGCCUGGGAGAACCGCUCAUGUCCGCCAACGGAGCCGUUUGGGGCCGCGUGCGGAGCCGCCUCCGAGCGUUCCCGGAGCAUCUGGCGGCCUGCGGGGCCGAGGCUUCGGCGUACGGCAGGUGCGUGCAGGCCUCCACCGCCCCCGGAGGCCGCCUGAGGAAGGACCUGUGCGCGCGCGAGUUCGAGGCCCUGAAGAGCUGCUUCGCCGCCGCGGUUCCUAGAACGACACUAAUGCUGGCCGCCUGCCGGAGCGCCACAAGUGCUACUGAGGGCUGCUAAUGCAGAAACAGCACCUACUAGAACCUCCACUCAGUCACAGGGUCCAGGCUCUCAUCUUUUAGGCCAAAAAGACCUGAUGGAGGCCCCUAGGAAGGGCUGUGGGCACAGGCGCCUUGUACUGAUGACACACACGGAGAGCUUUGGGGACUGAAAGAAGGUGUGGCUGGUGGCGAUCCUGGUGUUUGUUUCUUCUUGAACCUUGGGCAGGGCAGGGUUUGUUUAUCAGCUGUGUGUGAGGAUCUGAUUUUGAUUAAGAUGUAACAGAAACAGCAAUGAAGAUUACUUAAUCCGG